CCUUGCCAGCCCGCUCAGAACUUAAUGAAUUGACGGGGCCGCACAAGCGGUGGAGUAUGUGGUUAAUUCGAUGCAACGCGAAGAACCUUACCUGGUCUUGACAUCCCGGAGACCCUUAGGAAACUAGGGGGUGCUUCCAUCUGGAAGAAUCUGGAGACAGGUGCUGCAUGGCUGUCGUCAGCUCGUGUCGUGAGAUGUUGGGUUAAGUCCCGCAACGAGCGCAACCCUUGCCUUUAGUUGCCAGCAGUUCGGCUGGGCACUCUAAAGGGACUGCCGGUGUUAAACCGGAGGAAGGUGGGGAUGACGUCAAGUCCUCAUGGCCUUUAUGACCAGGGCUACACACGUACUACAAUGGCCGAUACAAAGGGCAGCGACACUGCGAGGUGAAGCCAAUCCCGUAAAAUCGGUCUCAGUCCGGAUUGGAGUCUGCAACUCGACUCCAUGAAGUUGGAAUCGCUAGUAAUCGUGGAUCAGCAUGCCACGGUGAAUACGUUCCCGGGCCUU
rnacentral:rRNA from 1 species